rnacentral:rRNA from 1 species
UUUCUCCCUUACAAAGGCGCCUUAUAACGCAUCAGGUAACUUAGCCACCCGGAUUUACACUCGUCUUUUGCCGGGACCUACCGACGUUGUCCGUAGGCAGAGGAAGGGGCACGUGAAGCUUAGAGGGAAGCUGCUUUUGGGAUCAAGUCAAUCCUUCCCGUUCCCCUUGAUUCCUCCGCCCCUUCUGUACCGCCGGCGCCGCCGGAGGCAACCUGUGUCGUCGUCUCCGCCGCCACCCGCCUAGGUAGCCGACCUCCACCUCUUAAAAUUCAGCAUGUUCCCUUGCGUCUGGUAGCCGGGGAAGAAGCUGAAGUGCCGGUAGUAGCCAGGGUUACCGCGGCCGUUCAGGUUAGAGUACCUGCGGUAGUCAAAACACGAGCCGCAGGCGAGGCGUGUGGAGGCACCGCGGGUCGAGUUCCUGGAGUAGAUGCGGGAGCUGCUGGCGCUGUUCCUCCGGUUCCCAGCGUCCCGGAGGCAUGCGGAGCAGAUGUUGGAGGGUCCGUGGCCGCCGCUCGAAGUGAAGUGGGCGUGGUAAUGGCCGCGGCCACCGUCGCUCAUGGCAUAGCUACCGGCUGAGCAGUGCACCCUGCUGAUGUUGCGGUUCGAGUCUAGGGAGCCGUAAGAGCAGUUCCCACUGCACCUUAGGUAACGGAGGUUCUUAGGAUUCCUCGAGUGACGUGAAGACCUCGUCUAACGGCCGAGACUGCUCGAGUCCUCCCUCAUGCUGCUUAACCUCCUUGUCUUUUGGUCACGGCUUCUCUUUAGACGUGAACAGAUAGUUCUCUUUUCCUGGUAGCAGUACCUCUCCUUCGUCUUCUUCCGCGUCUUCCUUCUCCGUCUCUUCGUAGACGCGAAUGUCGUCCUGGACUUUGACAAUUUUUGUCUCGUAGAGGAUACCGUUGAGAUGUCGUAACUUUUUCUGUACCUUCGUUAUCUUCGGCUUGAACUCCUACUAUCUGCAAGAGAAGUCGUUCGCGCGCUUCUAUUAGUUAGGAGACUGUUACCUGAACGACGUUUUUCCUUCCUCGUUUCACGUAAAGAGUUCUUUUAAUGGAAUACGCUCUUCUCAUACAGCUUCUUUUUCCAACUAUAACUGUUUUUCGUUGGGCUCGAAGAAUCUAACUUUCUCGUUUAUAGAGCCGAGUUUAGGUUUUAGUUUUCGACGUUGUUUCUCUAACUGUUUUUCUUCCUACUAUUGUUAUUUGUAAACCUUCUCUACUUUUCCGACGUCUCACGAAACCGACUACAGUGUUCACGAUAACUCCUCAACUUGCUCGUUCCGGUUCUAUUUCCUCACUUUGACGUUAAUCGGCUACUGGUUCAGGUCCUUAUAGUAUCUUAAUUCCUUCUACGUCCUUACUCCUGUCGUUUCGACGCUCUACUCUUCCUUCAUAAUCUGUUUCUCGAUUUACGACUAUAACUUCGGUUUUUCUUAAAUCUCCUCUUAUACGUUGUCGACGCAUCGGCACAACUACUCUAUAGUAGUGUCCUCUCACUUAACGUCUGUUUCGAAUUAUUCUAAGAAGUAAGUUAGGGGUUCGUACUUCUACUCGAAUGUGCAAAUGCGCUCCUAGUAUUGUUCUAACGUUUCCUUGCGGUUAGAAGUCCUCGAUUCAUAGACUGUAACUUCGUCUUCCACCUACUCUAUCUAUGUGUCAAUGCACUUGAGUUUCGACACUUCGUACUUUCACUCGCCCUACGAGCUAAAAGUCUUUGACAAUUCUCAGAAUUCUCCGAUAAGGGACCUCAGGUACCAGCGUACUGACUUGAAACAGCCGGGAGUGUUUUCUUUAUGUUGGAACGACAGUGACAACGGUACCCUUUUAAGUACCUACGUCAUCACCAACUUCUACUUUCGUGUCCUUUCCUUACGUAAUUCAUAAACUUCCUUGUUGCAGAAGGAGGUGUCUGUAAAUAAGGGAAUGUUAGCUAGGCACACUUCGGUUAUUGGCUCUCCAACGCAUGGGAACCUCCUAGACGUGUUAACUAGAAACUACACUAUGUUAAACUAGCUCGAAACCUCUUUCGUCAAGACAUACGACAACCCUUAUGUGAACAGACACUGUUUGAACUACUUCGAUUUUGAGAAUCAACCUCACCACUUUCCAUGUUCCAGCAAUGACAGCUACCCUAUGAAAACUGAUUUAGACCGUGUUACUGACCACCUCAUUCGCCACCUUACCUUCGUUCUAGUUUAUUUACCCUGCUGUCGUCUUAUCUUAGAGACUUCUUCUUCUUUUCAUUCGAUCUCCGACUUUACAGGCUUGAACCAAGGGGGUCCCUCAACGUCUCUUUCCUCGAACGACAUAGACUCUUUUAUUGACCUGAGCUCUUUUUCAAUGUAAUGAGCUUACAGCUUGUCUUAUUAGAGUUUCUCUUCGAUGUGUUUAACCGUAGACUCUUUGCAUUAUAACUCUUUCUUUAACUAGUAGACCUCGGUCCUUUCCUCCUCAACCUUUCGGCAGAACGAUUUUUGCUUGCCCUUCAUUCUUUCGCCCUCUUUUUUUAUUUACUCUAUCAGCUGUCCUAGAUGUUCCUAAAAUCGUACAGUCAACCACACUUCUUGUAAGCACUUAUACUUCUUUUCGUUGACUUUCUACGAGUUCGUGACGUCCUCUCCUUCGAUUCAGACUCGUUAGUUAAUAGCUUUGACUUUAUGGUCGACCUUAUACUUGUUUUCUCUCUAUACGUACGAGGCUAACGUUUCAAUUUGUUGUGUGUACUCUGGGAUCUCUUCCUCGACUUCCCGAACGUCCUCUCUCUUUGAGCACGAUUCCGACUACGACUUGUAUAAAGUUUAGUCUACCUUCUCGACUUCCGACUCCGACUUCUGACCUUCAACUUCAGUCUACUUACACUCUGUCGUUAACUCCUUGAUUUCUUUGUCUUACUAUCACAACGACGACGUAACCGUUUCGACCUAGCGGUUCACUUCAAUUUCCUCCCUGUCUAUCAAGUUGAAUCUAGUGCGGUUGCACUCUAAGUACUCUUCACGCUUGACCUCGUCAAUUUCGAAGGAUGUCAAUUACUAGGUUACCUGUGACCUAGUAGGAGUGUCCUUGAACAGGAACUAAUGUUGGUCGAAUCACUUUAGAUGGACUUUCUUCACGCCGACAGACUGGCACUGUUUGAACUCCGUCUCAAGUUUGUUUUUUAUCCAUGUGAUUACCGACUCUAACUUGCGUGACGAGGUUUGAAUUUUCGUGACCUAGUUAUACUUCGUGAAGUUUGCUUCCUUUUUCUCCACUCGCUCUUCAAACUUCGUCGAUCCUUUCUUCUCGCUCUCCACCGACUGUUCAUAUUGAGACAGUUCGUUUCUUCCAUACUCGACAAGUACCUUCGGAAACUAGUAUAUAGAUUUCCGUAUCUGUUUUAGAUAUUCGUCAAUUGUUUUUCAGUGUGUGUAGGUGAGCCUCCUUGUCGUAUAAAUUUAGAUCUUUUACUUCUACUCGGUAAAGAAGUACCUUAGUUCAUGUGUCGAUACGGUGGAUGCUUCGCGAAAUCCCUAUACCUUGUCAAUAGGCCACCCCUCUUCUGACAACGACGUGACCGUAACGAAAAACGGUAAGUGUCAAAGUCCGGUAGUGGUAAGAAGUAUGACCUACUUCAGCUACGUCGAGAUCUAUUAAAUUUACAACGGUUCCAACGACCCAAAUAAGCUAGUUUCAGUACGCUUGCACGACCGCUUCUCGUUCUACCACUCCCUCCAACACCCAAAGUCUCAUAACAGUAUAGCGACUUCCUAUCGAAGAUGCUGUUUCGACUUCGUGACCAACCACAAAUAGCCCUAAGUCUUUCUUCGACGAGGUCUUGGGAGUGGAAGCUGGAAUGCUUCAUAUUUCUUCGUACUUUAGGUGAGGACAACCUCAGAAGGAUGCACAAUUAGACACUACCACUGUUAAUAGCAGUUGACUAAGACAUAAAGUUGAACACAUAUACUAAUCACCGUACAUCAAUUACAUCUUUGCCGUGUUUUGAUGUCAUGGUAAUCUUCAAUAUACACAAAAACACACGAAUAUACAAGGCAGAAACGUUCUUAAUCAAAAAAACGCCCCAAAACGUUCUUAAUCAACUACCCGUAUAUAGUGGCGUGGUCGUACGCCCUUGCGGCACAAGAAGUAGAAUCCGUACAAACCUACGAUUCGCUACCGGUUUACAGAAGGGUCCGUUUGUUCUCUAACGAAUUAAGCUGUUCUUUAGAACG